rnacentral:misc_RNA from 1 species
UCACUAAUCAAACUCGGCUUGCUGUUGGACCUUUUGUCGUUAAAGACAGGCCCUAAAGAUAAUGACGGUUGUUAAUUAGACCCUAGAUGCAACGAGCUUUCAUUAGCACGCAUGUUAGUUGGACUUUUUUAACCCGGUCCCUUUUUAACCAAUUUCUUAAGGUUGACCUCGGAUCAGGUAGGAAUACCCGCUGAACUUAA